UAGGGAAUCUUCCGCAAUGGGCGAAAGCCUGACGGAGCAACGCCGCGUGAGUGAUGAAGGUCUUCGGAUCGUAAAACUCUGUUAUUAGGGACGAACAAUUGUGUAAGUAACUAUGCACGUCUUGACGGUACCUAAUCAGAAAGCCACGGCUAACUACGUGCCAGCAGCCGCGGUAAUACGUAGGUGGCAAGCGUUAUCCGGAAUUAUUGGGCGUAAAGCGCGCGUAGGCGGUUUUUUAAGUCUGAUGUGAAAGCCCACGGCUCAACCGUGGAGGGUCAUUGGAAACUGGAAAACUUGAGUGCAGAAGAGGAAAUUGGAAUUCCAUGUGUAGCAGUGAAAUGCGCAGAGAUAUGGAGGAACACCAGUGGCGAAGGCGACUUUCUGGUCUGUAACUGACGCUGAGGUGCGAAAGCGUGGGGAGCAAACAGG
rnacentral:rRNA from 1 species